rnacentral:sRNA from 1 species
AUGGCAGUAACAUGUCUAAAACUUCUCUGUUCAUCUUAAAAACAAAGCUGCAAAGGUUAAAUCAUAUAUCAGAACCUAAAGCUGAUACAAUGUGGCAUUCUUUGGUUCUAAAGUUAUUUGUUCACAUUAUUUCUGUUGAUUUGUGUUUUUAAUUGAAUAAUCUGGCAUUUUGUUUUGUUGACAGUAGAUUUUGGCUGUGCUUGAGAACUACUUUUACCUCAAACUAGAUAAAGGACAAAUGUUGUAUAUUAUAAACUGACAUUAUAUUCUAUUUUGACUAUGAGUGACUGCCCUUACACUGUAACAUCACAAAAUUUACGAAAGUGUAUAGCUUUUUUACUUUGCGCAAGUUAUUUUUUGAGAUUUGAAAAGUUUCUUACAGUAAAAGUGAUCGCGAAAAAAAAAAAUUAGAUCAUCACAAAAAUUAAGGGAUGCAUGGUACUCCUUUUUUACUACAAAUGACUGACAUAUUGUAUUGUGAUAGUUUAAGUAACAAUUUCUGUUAGCACACAUACAUGAUCCUGUUUUUUAACACGGCAUUGACGGUACUUAUACUUAAAUGAACACUGUAGCUGUGUAGAUUAGAACAUAUCUGUUGAUCGUGCCAUGUUGUCUUGUUUAAUGUGGAUGUUACAAUAAAGCAUAAAUUCAACC